UACGUAGGGGGCGAGCGUUGUCCGGAUUUAUUGGGCGUAAAGAGCUCGUAGGCGGUUUGGCAAGUCGGGUGUGAAAACUCCGGGCUCAACUCGGAGACGCCACUCGAUACUGCUAUGACUCGAGUCCGGUAGGGGAGUGCGGAAUUCCUGGUGUAGCGGUGAAAUGCGGAGAUAUCAGGAGGAACACCGGUGGCGAAGGCGGCACUCUGGGCCGGUACUGACGCUGAGGAGCGAAAGCGUGGGGAGCGAACAGG
rnacentral:rRNA from 1 species